GGGGGGAGCAAGCGUUGUUCGGAUUUACUGGGCGUAAAGGGCGCGUAGGCGGCCAGCACAAGUCAGUUGUGAAAUCUCCGAGCUUAACUCGGAAGGGUCAACUGAUACUGUGCGGCUAGAGUGCGGAAGGGGCAACUGGAAUUCUUGGUGUAGCGGUGAAAUGCGUAGAUAUCAAGAGGAACACCUGCGGCGAAGGCGGGUUGCUGGGCCGACACUGACGCUGAGGCGCGAAAGCCAGGGGAGCGAACGGGAUUAGAUACCCCGGUAGUCCUGGCCUUAAACGAUGAAUGCUUGGUGUCUGGGGUUAUAUAGUCCCCGGGUGCCGUCGCUAACGCUUUAAGCAUUCCGCCUGGGGAGUACGGUCGCAAGACUG
rnacentral:rRNA from 1 species